ensembl:lncRNA
CAUAAUGUUAAUGUUAAAUAAUUGCAUGCAACAUGAAAGCAAAGUGUUAUUUUCAGGGAGGAGAUAGCAGAGUUCUAUUGGAUUGGCUUGUUGAUUUUCAUAUGCCUUUUUUCUGGAUUUUUCUUUCUAGGAUUCAAUAAGGCAGGGACACUCAUAUACGUAUUUUGUUUUUUGCCAGACUGUACUGAAAUGGCAUAGAAUCAUAGAAUAAUAGAGUUAGACGAGACCACAUGGGCCAUCUAGUCCAACCCCCUGCAACGUAGGAAAAGCACAAAAGUAUCCCUGACAGAUAGCCAUCCAGCCUCUGUUUAAGUUUCCAAGGAGCUUCCGUCACACUCCAAGGCAGAAAGUUCCAUUGUUGAAUAGCUUAUACUGUCAGGAGGUUCUUCCUAAUGUUCAGGUGCAAUCUCCUCUCCUGUAAUUUAACUCCAUUGCUCCUAGUCCUAGUUUCAAGAGCAGUCAUCUCUUCCCUCAGUUUGUAAGGAAAAUUCCAAUAGGUGUGACAUCAACAAUUGCCUCCUACUAAUCGUGCAUGAAAUUUAAUCCUUCAGGUGAACAAGUUGAUUGAUGAAUUGCAGGCAGCUAUAAAGAGCUACAAAGGUCACCUCUCAAAACUUCUCCCUCAGUUACGGGCUGAACAAGAGCAAUGCACUUCCUAUGUCUACCAGCACAUUAAAGAACUUCCUGCAAACACACUUGUCUCACAAGGUCUGCAGCUAAAGGUUUAUGAAAAUGGCAAAGAUAUUGGGGAAACUAUUGUUUACAUCAGUAGAAAAGAGAUGGAAAGUACCAGUAAUUGUGGGAAUCAACUCAGCAUUAUGCUAGAAAAGGUACAGCACAUAAUUCACCAAAGGCUCCAAUGUUCAGCAGAAUUCAGACCAUCCUGCCUCAGUCGCUUUCCAACUCACCUUUUUGAUGAGACUGGACAAGAAAUUAAAAACCCACUUUUACUGCAGAAUGAGCAAAAAAUUUGGGUUUCUUAUGGUGAAGAUUACAGGUAGGAACAAAGUGUUUCACUAGGUGACUGUCAGCAAUCUCUGUGUUGUCAAACUGCUGUAAAAGGAAGUUUGAUAACCUCCAAGCACAUACCCUUUUGUUAUUUUUUUAUUGUAAAUCACAACCAAAUUUCAGUGCUCUUGUUUGAGACAGUAUUGUUUGUGGGAUAUGACAUCUCUGUCUCUGACUUACUGUCUUGUCAUAGUUCUUGAUGUCUGCCUGUCAGCACAGCAAGAGGGAUUUUUUCAUGUCUGAAUAGUCACCUUAAUGAUAGCAGAUGGAAACACCACAGGGGCUCCAAGCCCAUCACACUGUCAUUGUCACAAACUGCCCUGACCUGCUUCCACUCCUCUGUUUUUUUCUUUUUGGUCCCUUUUUAAAGGAGAAAUGGAUGGUAAUUGAAAAGGAUCUUAAGCAAGAUUUAUAGAGCUGUAGACAACACAAAUCCCUACUAUCUUUCUAUGUUUUCAAAAAUAAAGUCUUAACCUCUUAAGCAUCAGGAAUGGUAGGAAGAUAAAUUAGCUUGUAAAGUGUGAAAAGUUUGACUAACUCCAGAGAAUAUUAGAGGCCAUCCAGUAUGUGUGAUAGUUAUUUUUAAUAAUAAUUUUCAGUAAAGAUGAGUAUUAAAUUUUAUUCAGCAUCCCAUGCAAAUAUAUACAAUUCAGACUUAUUUGUGCAUUUUGAUUGAGGUAUUUUUAAAAAAAUUAAGAAGUCUUUCUCCACAGCUUUACAUAGAUAUUAAAAUAACUUGUUCAGAUUUGUAUUGUAAGUAUAUCAGCAAGAUAAAAAUCUGUUUAUAGAUCCUGAUAUAUAUAUAUAUAUAUAUAUAUAUAUAUAUAUAUAUAUAUAUAUGUAUAGAGAGAGAGAGAGAGAGAGAGAGAGAGAGAGAGAGAGUCCAGUUUAAUUGCUCAUGGCUUUGUUUUACUUAAUAUAAUCACAGCACAGUAUUGUGUCUAUUUAUUGAAAAGAAUGUCCCACUUU